AUGGCUGAGGAGCCGGCGGCCGUGCUCCCGCUCCCUCCUUCGGGUGCGGCGGACGGCGAAGGGCCUACGGACGUCUCCCCAGGAACAGCCACGCCGGAGCCGCCUUCUUCCGCCGCAGUCUCCCCGGGAACGGAGGAACCUGCCGGCGACACCAAGAAAAAAAUUGAUAUCCUGCUAAAGGCUGUGGGAGACACCCCUAUAAUGAAAACAAAGAAGUGGGCUGUAGAGCGAACCCGAACCAUCCAAGGACUCAUUGACUUCAUCAAAAAGUUCCUUAAACUUGUGGCUUCAGAACAGUUGUUUAUUUAUGUGAAUCAGUCAUUUGCCCCUUCCCCUGACCAGGAAGUUGGAACCCUCUAUGAGAGGCCUGGUGCACAGAUUCUGCACCGGUGGGGUCCUCGGCCUGGCCUGCAGGGAUCAACCUGAAACCAGCUCUCCGACAUCCCCCAAGGUGUCCCGGAUUAUGAGUGGGCAGUUCUCGGUGUUUUGGCAGUGAUGGUAAACUGGUCCUACAUUACUGCAAAUCUCAGGCAUGGGGAUGAACGACAGAGAAAAAGAUCUUGAUAACUAAAAAUGAAUCUUCACAAAGGACACAGCUCUGAAAAGUUUGAUACUUAUGGCAAGAUACUUGUGGAUAUGAUCUCAGCAUGUUAUCUGCUAAGACCCAUGUUUAUGCAUGUAAAAAAUCCAUAGAGUUGACCCACAAAAAUGUGAUUUGCAUUAAUACAGGAAUCAUCGUGAAAGAUUGACAUUAAGAGUAUAUACAGUACUACAACUAUUGCUCCAGAUAUGCCUCCAGGAUAUUGAAAAGGAGACUAAGAUUGUAUAAAGCCUCUUAUUUGUUGUGUGUUUGUUUAAUUUAUCUUUAUUGUUGAAAGUAUUACAGAUGUCCCCUUUUUUCCCCAUUGACCCCUUUUUGGCUGCACAGGUCUUCACCACACUAUUGUCUGUGUCCAUGGGUUAUGCAUAUAAGUUAUUUGGUUAAUCUCUUCCUACCCACCCCACCGUCCCUCUGAGAUUUGACUGUUUGUUCCAUGCUUCUAUGUCUGGAGCUAUUUUGUUCACCAAUUUAUUUUGUUCUCUAGAUUCCACAUAUGAAUGAGAUCAUGUGAUACUUGUCUGUCUCUGACUGACUUAUUUUGCUUAGCAUAAUACUCUCCAGGUCCCUCAUGGUGGGUCAAAGGGUAAGAGAUUCUUCUUUUUUACUGCUAUAUAGUAUUUCAUGGUAUAAAUGUACCACAGUUUUUUUUAUCCACUCAUCUACUGAUGGGCACUUGGGUUGUUUCCAGAUCUUAGCUAUUGUAAAUUGCGGUGCUAUGAACAUAGGGGUGCAUAUAUUCUUUUUGAUUGGGUUUUUAGGUUUCUUAGAGUAUUUUCCUAGAAGUGGGAUUACUGGGUCAAAUGGCAGUUCCAUAUUUAAUUUUUGAGGAAAUUCCAUACUGUUUUCCAUAAUGACUGCACCAAUCUUCAUUCCCACCAGCAGUGUACUAGGGUUCCCUUUUCUCUACAUCCUCACCAGCACUUGUCAUUUGUUGACAAAGGAGGCAAGAGCAUAUAGUGGAGUCAAGACAGUCUAGUCAAUAAGUGGUAUUCGGAAAGUUAGGUACAUGCGAAAAAAUGAAAUUAGACCACCAACUUACACUAUACACAAGAACAAACUAAAAAAAAAAAUGGUUAAAAGACUUAAAAUGUAAGUCUUGAAACCAUAAAAAUUCUAGAAGAAACCACAGACCACAAAAUCACAGACAUCUCCUGUAGCAAUAUGUUUGCUGACACAUCUCCUAGGGCAGGGGAAACAAAGGAGAAAAUAAACAAAUGGGACUACAUCAAAAUAAAAAGCUUCUGCACAGCAAAAGGAACCAUCAGCAAAAUGAAAAUGGAGCCCACUAUAGGAGAAUAAAUUUGGCAAUGAUACAUCUGAUGGGUUAACAUAUAUAAGGAACUUGUACAACUUAACAAAAGGAAGACAAACCAAUUAAAAAAUGGGCAAAGGACCUAAAUAGACACUUCUCCAGAGUGGUCAUACAGAUGGCCAAGAGACAUAUGAAAAAAAUGCUCAAUGUCCUUAAUCAUCAGAGAGAUGCAAAUUAAUACAACAGAUACCACCUCACACCUGUCAGAACGGCUGCCAUCAACAAAUCAACAAAACCUCUUUUUUUUUUUUAAAUAUAUUUUAUUGAUUUUUUACAGAGAGGAAGGGAGAGGGAUAGAGAGUUAGAAACAUCGAUGAGAGAGAAACAUCAAUUAGCUGCCUCCUGCACACCCCCUAACUGGGGAUGUGCCCACAAUCAAGGUACAUGCCCUUGACCGGAAUUGAACCUGGGACCCUUGAGUCCGCAGUCCGACGCUCUAGCCACUGAGCCAAACGGGUUAGGGCAAUAAAACCUUUUUUUAUAGGUUCUUAAAAUGACUGAAAUUGUUUACUUGUAGAAUUAGCACUGUAAAAGUCAGUUUAGUUUACUAAAAGAUUAUUUUUGUGCUGCUCCUGGGAAGUUCAGUUUGAGGUAUGGGAUAUACUUUUUCUUAUAUAUAUUUAUAUCUACAGUAUUAUGAAAGAAAAUCUCAUUGACCUGCUGGCUUUAUAUCUUACAUAGUCCAGUAGAGGGCAGCCCAGAUGGCAGAAAUAAGCAGUUUGGUUUUACAUCUUUGCCAAAUGAUAAUGGAGGAGAAAACUGUUUCUAGCAAAUAUCUAGCCAAGAGAGCAUGUAUGUUGACACACUGGAAGGCUGCUUUAGAGAAUAUGCAAGGUUUAGAUUUAAUUGUCUUAUUGUGAAAAAAAAACUUUAGACAAAUGAAUUAUACACCUAUUUUAGUCCUAACAUUUGAUGAUUCUGGAGUCCCAAUGUUUAUAGCUAUGAUGGUCUUCUGUCUCUUUUACAGUGUCAAAAGCACUCAAGUAAAUGUGACAACAUCUUUGAGUUUUUAUAAUGUAUUUUUCAACUUGAAAAUGCUCAAAGAAAAACUGAACAAAAGCCUUAGUUUUACAUGUAUUUCAUGCCAUGACUAAAAGUACCUUUUUUCUAAUGCCAUUAGACUGGUAAUUGCUUGAGGUGAGAUUUAACUUUUUAAAAAUUCUUUAUUAUAUUUGUAAUGCAGCAUUAAAAAAGCAUUCCAAUAAAUUGAAUGGAAUGUCCAAACAGAAUGUAAAGUAUGUGCAAGAAUUCUCUUAAGUGUUUGUUUUCAAAAGUAAUGUACUUUAUGAUUAAUGAUCUGCCAUACACUAGCAUUAGGGGGUGCUAAGGAAGAAUUCCAUUUAUAGUGAUGAAAUUGCUGUUCAGUUCUCAUUUUCUGUCCAAGAAUAAAUUAUUAAGUCCCCUUAUGCCAGUGUUCCGGUGUAAUAAAUUAAUACAGCUAGUAGUUAGCACUGGAAUAGUACAGGUUGAAUUGUGCAAAUUUAUCUUGUAAGAUUAGGUAAGAAAUUUAUAUAUAUGUUGGAAGCUGGAAAGUGUACUAUCAUUUUCAAGUCAAAUAGGUUGGAUGUGGAUCUGUUCUGUAGCUUCCUCCAUUAAUAGUUACUGAAGGAUGUGAAUGUAUUUAUAUACAUACGUAUUUAACAAAUAGCAAAAAUGUGUUUAACUUAAUAUUUGCCACUAUGGUUUUAAGUGAUGGGAUAUUUACUACAUUAAUCAAAGCUAUUUGAGUUUGAGUUUGUGAUAUCAAUUUAAUUGUUCCUUUUUAAUCUAAAGAACUUAUUAAUUAAAUCUAAGGUUAGCUAAAUAUGUA